AAUGAUGAUCUAAUAGACAUUUUUUUCAGUUGACACAGAUUUUUUACGUACGAGACAGUGUAUAACCUUUCCGUCUGAUGAAAAUACUUCUUUAUUUUCAUUGUAAGGAGCAAUCUAAAUUCUAAUCGAAAUUUUACUUUUUAAAAUUGAUUUUAUUUCAGGCAUUACGCCGAAUACGUUCAUUGUGCGGCCAAACUGAUCAAAGAAAUAGGUACUAAAGUAUCAACAGG